GACGAACGCUGGCGGCGUGCUUAACACAUGCAAGUCGAACGGUGAUCUUGAGAGCUUGCUCUUGGGUGAUCAGUGGCGAACGGGUGAGUAACACGUGAGUAACCUGCCCCUGACUCUGGAAUAACUUCGGGAAACCGAAGCUAAUACCGGAUAUGACACAGAGCCGCAUGGUUUCUGUGUGGAAAGUUUUUCGGUUGGGGAUGGACUCGCGGCCUAUCAGCUUGUUGGUGAGGUAAUGGCUCACCAAGGCGACGACGGGUAGCCGGCCUGAGAGGGCGACCGGCCACACUGGGACUGAGACACGGCCCAGACUCCUACGGGAGGCAGCAGUGGGGAAUAUUGCACAAUGGGCGAAAGCCUGAUGCAGCGACGCCGCGUGAGGGAUGAAGGCCUUCGGCUUGUAAACCUCUUUCAGUAGGGAAGAAGCGCAAGUGACGGUACCUACAGAGAAGCACCGGCUAACUACGUGCCAGCAGCCGCGGUAA
rnacentral:rRNA from 1 species